AAACAGAGUGGGUCCCGUAGAAACUGUCUGAACCCCAAACGGCACCCAGUUCAGGGUCUGGGAACCUCCCCUGUUGAUGUUGAUGAAAUGGAACAGAGUGGGUCCCGUAGAAACUGUCUGAACCCCAAACGGCACCCAGUUCCCGAAUUAGUUCACUACUUUUGACCACAAACCAAUGUCAACAGGUAAUGCGCUUAAACAGGGAAUAGGGUGUCAUUUGGGAUUGAGACACUAUUGUUCAACUGAAAAUAUAAUUUGAUCAGGAGGUGUUUUAAAUGUUUUUAUUUUUAUCACGUUUGUGUCUUAAGAGUCAGUGUGAGUUUGUCCCAAAUGGCACCCUAUUCCCUAUGCAGUGCACUACUACAGUAACCACAGAGGGUUUAGCCAAUCAGGGCUCUGGUUAAAAGUAGUGCACUACUACAGUAACCACAGAGGGUUUAGCCAAUCAGGGCUCUGGUUGAAAGUAGUGCACUACUACAGUAACCACAGAGGGUUUAGCCAACCAGAGCUCUGGUUAAAAGUAGUGAACUACUACAGUAACCACAGAGGGUUUAGCCAAUCAGGGCUCUGGUUAAAAGUAGUGCACUACUACAGUAACCACAGAGGGUUUAGCCAAUCAGGGCUCUGGUUGAAAGUAGUGCACUACUACAGUAACCACAGAGGGUUUAGCCAAUCAGAGCUCUGGUUAAAAGUAGUGAACUACUACAGUAACCACAGAGGGUUUAGCCAAUCAGGGCUCUGGUUAAAAGUAGUGCACUAUAUAGGGAAUAGGGCUCCAUUUGGUGAGUAGUUCAUCUGGUUGUAGGUAGUGUACUACAUAGGGAAUAGGGCUCCAUUUGGUGAGUAGUUCAUCUGGUUGUAGGUAGUGUACUACAUAGGGAAUAGGGCUCCAUUUGGUGAGUAGUUCAUCUGGUUGUAGGUAGUGUAAAUACAAAAUAUAUAAAGUCCUUUUUUUCCCCCACAGCAGAAGAAUUACUGUUUUAAAAAAUAAAACUUGCAUCUUGA